GCAUAAUAAACUAAAAAGAAAACAUAUAAGUCUCACAAAUAAAAUAAAAAAAGCUAACAGAAAAUAAAAGUGCAACUGCAAAUAAAAAUAAACAUAAACAAACAGAAAUCUAAAUUAAAUCAGUUAACGGCGUCUGGUAAGAUAUCAAGAUCACGAGGCACAUGAUCGGGUGGAAAAAUCUAGAAAUGCUAGCAUAUCCAUUACAGAUACACCUCAAUGACAUCGAUCUGUGCUAAUUGUUGCCUGAUAUGCUCCAAAUGUAACUACUUAAGUCGAUCUAUCCAUAGUGACUGCUGCUACUGAAGGCAAUAAAUAUCGCUGAGUAUGACCGAAUGCGCAAGCGUAGCAGUAGAGUGAUUUGCAGGAGGACUAGGAACGGGUCUUGAUGGUAGUGGAAGGUCAUUUUCUAGAUACUCGUUGUCCUCAUGCUACUAGUUCAGAUACAGCAACACAUACUGAUUACCAAAAGGCCUAGGCCGAUGAGUAACCAUCCUAAUAUGUUUCUUUAUAUUCAAGCCUUAUGUUGCCAUGCCCCCUACCAAAGAAAGAGUACCAAUUUUCUUGGGGGUCUCGAGGAGGCCAAAGUAACAAGCCAAGCGUGUUAUAUAUAGGCUCAUAUAGAUAGGCCAUCCCUGUGAUCGCUCACUCUGAUGGCGACAACACUGGGAUACGAAGUGGGCUAGAAAAAUCGAGUGUUGCUCAUGCAUGCUUCAUAAGGAAUAUGCAUUUAAAGCUCCUAUGAUGCUCAUACUCUCCUUCCGACCAGUCAAAGUAUGAGUUAAAAUGACGUGAAUGUAUCGCAGGGCUGAAGGGAGGCACCGAGCCUUCAAUUAGCUCAGGUUGUAUGGACUGGCAACCUCAGAUAUGUUAAACCAGUAAAGAGAGACCGAUUGAUUGUGCUAUGGGAGGGUGGAGAACUCAGGCAUGGCCAAAAAAUCAUUAGAGUAUAGGUCGAGAGUGACACCAAAUCCCGCAAUACUAAAAUGCCAAGUAAUACCCCCAAGACGAAAUGAUAUAGCUCAUGGUUCGUCCCCCAAUGAUAGCAUCGUCUGUAGAAAAAAGUGAAGCAAAACUCCAAGAUGAGCUCAGCAUAAGUCGACUUUAUGAUCACGAAAAAU
rnacentral:lncRNA from 1 species